rnacentral:rRNA from 1 species
UACGAAGGGGGCUAGCGUUGUUCGGAAUUACUGGGCGUAAAGCGCGCGCAGGCGGUCUUCCAAGUCAGUGGUGAAAGCCUGGAGCUCAACUCCAGAACUGCCAUUGAAACUGUUAGACUUGAGUACGAGAGAGGUGAGUGGAAUUCCCGGUGUAGCGGUGGAAUGCGUAGAGAUCGGGAAGAACAUCAGUGGCGAAGGCGGCCUGCUGGGCUGUUGCUGACGCUGAGGCGCGACAGCGUGGGGAGCAAACAGG